rnacentral:rRNA from 1 species
CUAGAGGGACGUGCCGGCGACAAGUCGGAGGAAGGUGGGGAGUGACGUCAAUCAUCAUGCCCCUUAUGACCUGGGCUACACACGUGCUACAAUGGGCGGUACAAAGGGCUGCGAACCCGCGAGGGGGAGCGAAUCCCAAAAAGCCGCUCUCAGUUCGGAUUGCAGGCUGCAACUCGCCUGCAUGAAGCCGGAAUCGCUAGUAAUCGCGGAUCAGCAUGCCGCGGUGAAUACGUUCCCGGGCCUU